rnacentral:tRNA from 1 species
CGCGGGGUGGAGCAGCCCGGUAGCUCGUCAGGCUCAUAACCUGCAGGCCGCAGGUUCAAAUCCUGCCCCCGCAACCA